UACAGAGGUCCCAAGCGUUGUUCGGAAUUACUGGGCGUAAAGGGCCAGUAGGCGGCCGACUAAGUCCGACGUGAAAUCCCCAGGCUUAACCUGGGAACUGCGUCGGAUACUGGUUGGCUUGAAUUCGGGAGAGGGAUGCAGAAUUCCAGGUGUAGCGGUGAAAUGCGUAGAUAUCUGGAGGAAUACCGGUGGCGAAGGCGGCAUCCUGGACCGACAUUGACGCUGAACGGCGAAAGCUAGGGGAGCAAACGGG
rnacentral:rRNA from 1 species